CCGGAAAUGUGUCGCAUAUAACGUGUUUCCUUGUGUACAUGCGUAGCGGGAUUUCACACAGAUGUGAAAAAACAAGUUUGGUUUCCACGAUUAUUUCGCCUUUUUGAUAGCCAUUUACUAAAUAAUCAAGUAAUUUAUUGUUUUAUUAGCUAAUAUUAGUUGCUGCCAUAGCCAGCUAGUUGGCUACUACUGUAGCUAACGUUAGCAUUGGAUUACUAUUUGACAACUAGCUGACGUUACUUAGCUGUAGUGUGAAGUCAACUUCAGUUGCCACUUUGCCAAUGUAGCUAACAUGCUGGUGUGUUAAAAGGAGCAAUGUCAGUGGAAUAGGUAGUUUUCCAUCGUAUUGUUAACAUACAGCUACCAUUUUUACUUAGGAAAGUAAGCUAGCCAACUAUAGACAGACAUGGAGAGUCAAACCCAUGCGAAGAAAUCGUCUGCACCCAUUGUGUCCCAAAUCAACGCAGAAUAUGUCACAGGUAACUAAACUCAGCAAAAAUAAUAAACGUCAUCGCACUGUCAACUGCGUUUAUUUUCAGAAAACUUAACUUGUAAAUAUUUGUAUAAACAUAACAAGUAGCCUAGUGGUUAGAGCUUUGGACUAGUAACUGAAAGGUUGCAAGAUCGAAUCCCAGAGCUGACAAGGUAAACAUCUGUCAUUCUGCCCCUGAACAAGGCAGUUAAACCACUGUUCCUAGGCAGUCAUUGAAUAUAAUAAUUUCUUCUUAAAACUGACUUGCCUAGUUAAAUAAAGUUUUUUUAUUUUUAUUUAAAUAGACAUAAACUGAAAAGUGUUCUACAGACAUGUGACUAACAGAAAUGGAAUAAUGUGUCCCGAACAAAGGGGGUCAAUAAUCAAAAGUAAGAGUCAGUAUCUGGUGUGGCCACCAGCUGCAUUAAGUACUGCAGUGCAUCUCCUCAUGGACUUUAACAGAUUUGCUAGUUCUUGCUGUGAGAUGUUACCCCAUUCUUCCACCAAGGCACCUGCAAGUUCCCGGACAUUUCUGGGGGGGAAUGGCCCUAACCCUAACCCUCUGAUCCAACAGGUCCCAGACGUGCUAAAUGGGAUUGAGAUCCGGGCUCUUUGCUGGCUAUGGCAGAACACUGACAUUCCUCUCUUGCAGGAAAUCAUGCACAGAAUGAGCAGUAUGGCUGGUGGCAUUGUCAUGCUGGAGGGUCAUGUCAGGAUGAGCCUGCAGGAAGGGUACCACAUGACGGAGGAGGAUGUCCCCUCUGUAACUCACAGCAUUGAGAUUGCCUGCAAUGACAACAAGCUCAAUCCGAUGAUGCUGUGACACACGGCCCCAGACCAUGACUGACCCUCCACCUCCAAAUCGAUCCUGCUCCAGAGUAUAGGCCUCGGUGUAACGCUCAUUCCUUUGACGAUAACUGCGAAUCCGACCAUCACCCCUGGUGAGACAAAACCGCAACCCGUCAGUGAAGAACACUUUUUGCCAGUCCUGUCUGGUCCAGCGACGGUGAGUUUGUGCCCAUAGGCGACGUUGUUGCCGGUGAUGUCUGGUGAGGACCUGCCUUACAACAGGCCUACAAGCUCUCAGUCCAGCCUCUCUCACCCUAUUGCGGACAGUCUGAGCACUGAUGGAGGGAUUGUGCGUUCCUGGUGUAACUCGGGUAGUUGUUGUUGCCAUCCUGUACCUGUCCCGCAGGUGUGAUGUUCAGAUGUACUGAUCCUGUGCAGGUGUUGUUACACGUGGUCUGCCACUGAGGAUGAUCAGCUGUCCGUCCUGUCUCCCUGUAGCGCUGUCUUAGGCGUCUCACAGUACGGACAUUACAAUUUAUUGCCCUGGCCACAUCUGCAGUCCUCAUUGCCUAAGGCACAUUCACGCAGAUGGGCAGGGAUCCUGGGCAUCUUUCUUUUGGUGUUUUUCAGAGUCAGUAGAAAGGCCUCUUUAGUAUCCUAAGUUUUCAUAACUGUGACCUUAAUUGCCUACCGUCUGUAAGCUGUUAGUGUCUUAUCGACCGUUCCACAGGUGCAUGUUCAGUAAUUGUUUACGGUUCAUUGAACAAGUGUGGGAAACAGUGUUUAAACCCUUUACAAUGAAGAUCUGUGAGGUUAUUUGGAUUUUUAAGAAUUAUCUUUGAAAGACAGGAUUCUGAAAAAGGGACGUUAUUUUUUUUGAUGAGUUUAUAGGAAAAUUAUAUUUUUUAUUGCUUUAUAUGAGUGUCUCAAGCGAUAGAUCUGGAAGCACUCUGAAUCCAGUCCAGCCAUCCUGCACUCUCAGAGUUUGAUCUUGUUCAGAACAGCCAACUUGUACCGCCUUUCAAUGAAAAAGAGGUGGAUGUAUAUUUUACUCUGUUUGAACGGAUUGCUAACGUUUCAUCCCUAAAAUGGCUGCGAGAUAUUUGGUAACUGCUCCACCAAAGUGGUGUUGUGGGAAAGGCUCAAGUGUAGGCAGCUUUAUCUCUUGACCAGAGUUCAGAUUAUGACACUUAAAGCUUCUUGUUGGGGAACGUAACAAAUUGGGACUCGUUCGGGUUCUUGUUUACCAUGAGUAUGGUAAUUACUCUAAUCACCUACUCUAAAGCUCUGCUGUGUCCAGAUAUUUGAGUGUUCAGAAGACACUUUUGUGGUAGAGUUUCUGUCAUUGAUAUCCACCUGAGGGGUUCUAAGCUUGGGGGAAUCAUUUUGAGAGUUUCAUAAACACACAGGCUAAUAAAACAAAGCCAUGGACUUAGAUGCAUUUGUGUUAAACCUUACAUGGGAGAUGCUAGAUAAAUGUACAACGGAAAAUCUGCACAUCGCAAAGCAUUAUGACAUCAAGGUGAUAUCUGGCAAUCCAAAAGCAGAAGUCAAAGGAGGAAAUCCUUCCAGAGAGGGAGGUUGAUGAAAAGGGUCCUAUGGGUAGUAGGGUGAGUCCUGUAGAUGUACAACUGCGAGAGUUAGAACUAAAGGCAAAAUGGGAACAGAAGUUAGAACUUGAGCACAAGGAAAGGGAAGAGGAAUGUGAGCAUGCCAUUCAAUGAAGAACAAUAGAUCUGGAAGCACUCUGAAUCGAGUCCAGCCAUCCUACACAGCCAACUUGUACCGCCUUUCAAUUAAAAAAUUGUUGGAUGUAUAUUUGACUCUGAGCGGAUCACUACAUCCCUAAAAUGGCUGCAAGAUAUUUGGUCACUGCUCCACCAAAGUGCUGUUGUGGGAAAGGCUCAAGAAGUGUAGGCCGCUUUAUCUCUUGACCAGAGUUCAGAUUAUGACACUUAAAGCUUCUAUACAUUUUUUUGUCAUUUAGCAGACGCUCUUUUCCAGAGCGACUUACAGUAGAGUGCAUACAUUUUAUUACAUUUUACAUACUGAGACAAGGAUAUCCCUACCGGCCAAACCCUCCCUAACCUGGACGACGCUAUGACAAUUGUGCGUCGCCCCACGGACCUCCCGGUUGCGGCCGGCUGCGACAGAGCCUGGGCGCGAACUCAGCCCAGCCUGGGCGCGAACCCAGAGACUCUGGUGGCGCAGCUAGCACUGCGAUGCAGUGCCCUAGACCACUGCGCCACCCGGGAGGCCAAGUCAACACCUACUGCAAGGUUUGUCCAUUUCUACAGUGCCCAAAGAUAAAGAUCGGCUGAACAGAUUUUUCAUGUCCGCCAGUUUGUCAUUACUGCCAUGAGAAAGGACACAUUGUCUCUGUUGAAACAGAAACAUUUGAGAGAUAAAAGGACGUUUUUUCGUGUGGGAGCACUCCAGCCCAUUAAGUCUCUGGUUGGGAUUGGCGUAUUUCCUAAACAAGAUUUUGGAUCAGAUGUGUAUGAACCCUUUGUUUCAUACAGGUUUGUGUCUCUGCAGAGUGGCGAUGCUGUUAUGCAGCCAACGAAGAUACUGCGAGACACUGGGGCAGCCCAGUCCUUCAUUUUGGAGGGUGUUUUUCCUUUGUCUAACAUUUCAGCAACUGGUUACAGUGUGUUAGUACAAGGCGUAACAAGCACAGACAAUUUAACCAACCUUAGCGAUGCAGUCUUCGUUCUCGAUUCGGGGAAACAGGAGUCUCGUAAAAUGUCCAUGCCCAGUUGCAGGGGGUCAGUUUCAAUUUUAAAAAAAUGCUCCGUUACAACAUUCUUGUUGAAUAACCAGUUCUCUUGAGUUAGCUUUAAAUAGUGUAUACUCCCCUGUAUUUUUGAAUUUGACAAACAUUAUUUGGAUAUCUAAAUAUUUGAAUAUCUAAAUGUCUGAAACUACAGAGCCCUGUACAGUUUAUAGAAAUAUCUUCUGCGAAUCCAUAAGGGCAGACAAAUUUCAAAGAUUGAUAGAAAAUAUCCAUAUUUUUUUCUGGUGGUUCUACAUCAAUUGAACCCGGUUCGUGAAGAGCUACCGUUCUCUAGGUUUUCGUGCCCAGGUAUGGGCGAGCAGACAGAGGUACGGAAGCUAUAUUGUUACACUGAUGCUGUUAACCCGGAUCACUGGUUGCUGCGGAAAAGGAGGAGGUCAAAAGGAGGGUGAGUGUAACCGAUGUGAAAUGGCUAGCUAGUUAGCGGGGUGCGCUCUAGUGUUUCAAUCGGUGACGUCACUCGCUCUGAGACCUUGAAGUAAUUGUUCCCCUUGCAGAGGGGCGGCUUUUGUGGAGUGAUGGGUAACAAUGUUUCGAGGGUGGCUGUUGUUGAUGUGUGCAGAGGGUCCCUUGUUCGAGGCAAGGAGAGGGAUGGAAGCUAUACUGUUACACCAGGUUAGUUACAACUGGGGUUGGAGUGAAAACCUACAGGAGGGUAGCUCUCCAGGAACAGGGUUGGAGUCUACAGUGCAUUCGGAAAGUAUUAAGAUCCCUUGACUUUGUCCACAUUUUGUUACGUUACAGCCUUAAUCUACAAUUGAUUAAAUUAAAUAUUUUCCGGGCCUCCCGAGUGGCUCAGUGGUGUAAGGCACUGCCUCGCAGUGCUAGAGGCGUUACUACAGACCCUGGUUCAUUCUUAGGCUGUACCACAAACGGCCGUGGCCGGGAGGCCCAUAGGAAGGCGCACAAUUGGCCCAGCGUCGUCCGGUUAGGGGAGGGUUAGGCCGGUGGGGCUUUACUUGGCUCAUCGAGGUCUAGCGAUUCCUUGUGGCGGGCCGGGUGCCUGCAGGCUGUCCCCGGUCGCCAGUUGGACUGUGUUUCCUCCGACACAUUGGUGCGGCUGGCUUCCGGGUUAGGCUGGCGGGUGUUAAGAAGUGUGGUUAGGCGGGUCAUGUUUAGGAGGACGCAUGACUCCACCUUCGCCUCUCCCGAGCCCGUUGGGGAGUUGUAGCGAUGACACAAAAUUGGCAUAAAAUACAACAAAAAAUAUAUAUAUAUUGAUAAGUCACCUAGUCCUAGAGAGAUUUACACGGUUAUCAAAACGUCAUACAUGAAACACAGCCCUUAUUUGAAGUGUUUACAAAAAAUCGAAGAUUAAUGGUGAAAAAACGAUUAGAACUAUUUCCUUGUUUAACCGCUAGGUGUUAUGGCUCAUAAUGUGGUACUCUAGUCUACAGGUGUGUGUUUUUUACGUCACUGAUUAGUUGAACGAAUUCACGAUUUGGCGGGGUGUCCAGUCACCGGGGUAUACCUACACUUGUGGUGCGUUCAGUUCACUUCAACAUUUGCAAGGUUGCGAGACGGUUUGUGCUGAACAACACGUUUUUGGUGCACACUGUUCUUAAACAGCCUUUGAGGUACGUUAGCCAGCAGAUCCAACCCGCUUGCUUACAGUUGCAAUGUGAUAGGACAGGCUUCCUGUGUUGAUUAACACACAGCAGAGGUGUUGUGAGAUAUGGCUUGGAAAUUGUACUGCAAUCCCAGGAUGAGAAAUGCGUUGUACCCAAAUUGUCCCAUUAUCCCAACUGUUACACCAAGAAGUUUUAACGACUGCUAGUUUAAGUUAACUGACGUUUUCGUCCUCAUGCUAGCUAGCAGUAGCCACAGCAGCCAUUAUGGAAUGGCACGCAGUGUUGAACAACUAAGGAGCUGAUUGGCUGACACUGCCAUUCCAAAAUGGCUGCUGUGGCUUUUGCGACCUAGCAUGAGGACAAAAAGGUCAGUUUUCCGGAGGAACAAUCUUCCUGGUGUAACAGUUGGGAUAAUGUGAUAAUUCAUGGGAAGUAUAUUGCAUUUCUCAUUUCUGGAUUGAGGUGCAUUUUCUGAGCCAUAUCUCGCGCCAGCUAUGCAGUGUCUAAAUCUACAGACUGAACACUGUCCGACCCUAGUGCAGCUGUUAGCAAGCGGGUCGGAUCGGCUGGCUAGAGGUACAUUUGGUGGGUGUGGCCUGAUCAAUAUGGGUGUGACCAAUUGAAAUCGCAAAACUUGUGCAGCACUCCAGGUCAUUGCCCUCUGGGCCACCAUAAUCACAAAGUUUUCCAACUGGUUUUUCAGUACAGUUCUUUUUCGCUGUUGGAGCUAGAAACAAGCAUUUUGAUGCACCUGCGAUAACCUCUGCAAAUAUGUGAAUGCGACCAGUGAACUUUGAAUUUAUUUGAGUUUUGCACAUUGCACACCGUUCUGUUGUACUGAAUGCAACCCUGGCUGGCAUCUUUUGAAUUUCGGGAGGGGUUAAUUUCCCCCAUUGACUUGGCCAAGAUGAUUUCAGAGGAGCUGGUGUUCUCUACCAAAGCAAAUCCCUCCUGGUUCCUCCACUCACUCUGGGACAGACAUCUUAUCAUCACCCCCAGAACAAAAUCUAGUGCACUCACACAAAAUUUGCUUAUGGGAUGCAGAGAUUAAAGUUUUUGUUAUAAUAACCUCUCUCACUUUCUUUUUUAAGUUGGCUAAUAGAUACUGGGCGCCCCAUGUCAAGAACAAACUACCAUUAGACCCAAAGGUCUUGGAGGAUGUCUAUGAGAAAGUGAUUCUAAAGUCCGUGUGAGUGAACUCAACUCUUGAAUAGCAUCAGUAUUUUGUAAUGUUAAAUCUUCUUACCACAAGUUGAAUAAAUGGUUUAACCAAGUCCUCCACGUCUGCUAUUUUAUCUUCCGUUUCGCCAUUAGGAAGAUCAUGUUACUGGAGUUCAGGUGGAUUUUUGAUCCUUUUUAUUGUGGCCUCAAUACAUAAUCAAUGAUAAUAAUUUAUCAUCAGAGAGAACGUCCCUGCCUGUGAGGUAAGAAUGAAUACCCUGGCCUGUCAAACAGAAAUGUUGACCCUUGGUUGUAAAUUUUUGUUUCACAUAGCAAAUACUUAGCUGUGUUAACAAUCAGUAAGUGUGUUGUUGAACAUGCUAUGUUGUGUGUGUUGCGUGUUGGCUGUACAUGGACAGCCCCAGCAAUACAUCUACUUAGGGCAAAUGUCUCCAGCGAGCAUUGAUCAAUGUCUUCUAUAUCAAUGUUGUUUUUAACCCUUGGUUUAUUAUGUGUAUCCAGGUGUUUAAGAAGGUGCCAAACCACUUCCCCUACUUAUUUAAGUGUGUGAUGGAGGAUGUGUCUCUGAAGGAACAGACUGUACUGUUGGUCUUCCUCCACCACUGAUUGGUACAGCCUGGAGGUGGAUUUGAUCAGAGAGCAGGUGCAGCAGCUCAUCUUACUGCCCAUGUGGAUGUGUCUCUUACCAAGGCAAGAUGGAGAGGACAUUCCUUUCUGAGCUCAUUAACAAGUUUUUGGUGGUUCUGAUGUCCGUCUCCCCAGCAGCCCUGUACCCAAGGGGAAGGUCCACUCCUGCGUGAGGUUCAUCGAGCUCAUGAUUCACCUGGAGGCCCUUCUCCUAACACGUCGCUGGUUCAACACAGUGCUGGAUGACUCCCACCUGGUGGUGAUGACUCCCACCUGGUGUCCAGCCUCAU